GUGCCAGUGGUGUAGGGGUAUCAUGCAAGAUUCCCAUUCUUGCGACCCGGGUUUGAUUCCCGGCUGGCGCA
rnacentral:tRNA from 1 species